rnacentral:rRNA from 1 species
CGCUCUUUAACAAUCGAUCAGGUAAUUCAUGUGGGCGCUUGUCGGGAUGUCGGUGACCAGUCACUGAAACAUUCAAGGCAAGCGACUCGUCAAAGAGACGUUUGAACCUUGAGCCAGGUUUGGUUCCACCUUAGGAACUAUCAGACUUUAAACUGAAGAGUUUGAUCAUGGCUCAGAUUGAACGCUGGCGGCAGGCCUAACACAUGCAAGUCGAGCGGAAACGAUGGAGCUUGCUCCAGGCGUCGAGCGGCGGACGGGUGAGUAAUGCAUAGGAAUCUGCCCGGUAGUGGGGGAUAACCUGGGGAAACCCAGGCUAAUACCGCAUACGUCCUACGGGAGAAAGCAGGGGAUCUUCGGACCUUGCGCUAUCGGAUGAGCCUAUGUCGGAUUAGCUUGUUGGUGAGGUAAUGGCUCACCAAGGCGACGAUCCGUAGCUGGUCUGAGAGGAUGAUCAGCCACAUCGGGACUGAGACACGGCCCGAACUCCUACGGGAGGCAGCAGUGGGGAAUAUUGGACAAUGGGCGAAAGCCUGAUCCAGCCAUGCCGCGUGUGUGAAGAAGGCUUUCGGGUUGUAAAGCACUUUCAGUGAGGAAGAAGGCCUUGGGGCUAAUACCCCCGAGGAAGGACAUCACUCACAGAAGAAGCACCGGCUAACUCCGUGCCAGCAGCCGCGGUAAUACGGAGGGUGCGAGCGUUAAUCGGAAUUACUGGGCGUAAAGCGCGCGUAGGCGGCGUGAUAAGCCGGUUGUGAAAGCCCCGGGCUCAACCUGGGAACGGCAUCCGGAACUGUCAGGCUAGAGUGCAGGAGAGGAAGGUAGAAUUCCCGGUGUAGCGGUGAAAUGCGUAGAGAUCGGGAGGAAUACCAGUGGCGAAGGCGGCCUUCUGGACUGACACUGACGCUGAGGUGCGAAAGCGUGGGUAGCAAACAGGAUUAGAUACCCUGGUAGUCCACGCCGUAAACGAUGUCGACUAGCCGUUGGGGUCCUUGAGACCUUUGUGGCGCAGUUAACGCGAUAAGUCGACCGCCUGGGGAGUACGGCCGCAAGGUUAAAACUCAAAUGAAUUGACGGGGGCCCGCACAAGCGGUGGAGCAUGUGGUUUAAUUCGAUGCAACGCGAAGAACCUUACCUACCCUUGACAUCGUGCGAACUUUCCAGAGAUGGAUUGGUGCCUUCGGGAGCGCACAGACAGGUGCUGCAUGGCUGUCGUCAGCUCGUGUUGUGAAAUGUUGGGUUAAGUCCCGUAACGAGCGCAACCCUUGUCCCUAUUUGCCAGCGAUUCGGUCGGGAACUCUAGGGAGACUGCCGGUGACAAACCGGAGGAAGGUGGGGACGACGUCAAGUCAUCAUGGCCCUUACGGGUAGGGCUACACACGUGCUACAAUGGCCGGUACAAAGGGUUGCGAAGCCGCGAGGUGGAGCUAAUCCCGAAAAGCCGGUCUCAGUCCGGAUCGGAGUCUGCAACUCGACUCCGUGAAGUCGGAAUCGCUAGUAAUCGUGAAUCAGAAUGUCACGGUGAAUACGUUCCCGGGCCUUGUACACACCGCCCGUCACACCAUGGGAGUGGACUGCACCAGAAGUGGUUAGCCUAACUUCGGAGGGCGAUCACCACGGUGUGGUUCAUGACUGGGGUGAAGUCGUAACAAGGUAGCCGUAGGGGAACCUGCGGCUGGAUCACCUCCUUA